UUGCCCUGCUAUGAAAUUUUUGUAGGAAGUAACAUAAAGGGAGGCAUACAGGAAGCAUUUGCUAUGGCGUAGGUAAAGCAUAUAAGGCUCAACACCUGUAUCCCCCGUUUCUCUUUCUCCUUUUUGCAGUUGAUUGAUGGUGAUGGCUUUACAGACUCUAUAUAUCUGCUCCAUGAAUAUUUAUUGGCAUUUCCUUAGUUCGUUGAGGAGCCAUAUUGUUAUUAAGGUCUGAAACACCAAUUGUAUAUUUAUGGGCAUUUACAAGGUCUUUAAAUUCUUGACAGUCUGCCAAAAUUAUAUCUGCUUAAGGUGCAGACCGAAUAACCUUUCCAUCCUGAUAUUAACCAAUAAAUUCUUGAUCCAACAGCUAAAGACUUGUGCGAAAAUCGUUUAUCUACUUCUAUGGAACUGCAAAUUGUUCAUCCGGACUGAACCGAAUCCAGUGGCAAAGAUAUACUGCAGAGGAGGUCUAAUCAACGGAGACUACUUCCAGUUGAUUGAGGAAAAUGAGAGGUGGUUGGAUGGUUGGUACGUCCGUAGCAAUCCCGCCGUGUUAUCUCCGGCCAUCCAACUGCAGGCCGCGACCUGCAGUGACGCCGAGACCCUCCUCACGGCUGGGUAUUCGUUCCAUCCAACAGCUAUAUAGGUAGAACCUUGGAGUCGUGUGCGAUAUAUUGGCUUCGGGAGUUCUUUAACUGUCAAUUUCCGAUGGCUGUCAGCCAGAUGAGUUCCCUUGUACUUCCAGACCUCAUCUCUAUAUUCUUAAGUACCCAUGUCCUAAUGUAUGUGUACACAGGUUUGCUUAGAUUAUUUAUGUGUACGGAUGGUGCCAUGAUACUGUUAGGUAUGGAUGUUGUUGUAUGCGGCAGGUUACUGAGAGAAGGCCAACUGAGAGAGUGAAAUAGAUGUUUACAUGUUCAUGUUCUUCCGCAGUUCAUUUUUCUAACUUUUACAUACUUUGCUGAUACAUUCAGUGAGUGAGAUAGACGUGCUAUUUAUAUGUAAGAAUGAUGCCAUGAUUCAUUUUGGUUGCUGUAUGCAACAGGUUACCGAGAGGAAGCCAUUUGUUUGUGCUAAAAAUACAUAUUUGGGUUGCAAAAUUGUGUAGAAGGCAGUGGCUGCUAAAGCAGUCUAUCAAGUGGAAAUGUGUGUCCUUUACAGAAAUCAUCUUCAACUUGUUGCUUAAAAUGUUGUCUGUUUCCCAAAGACUCGACUUUACCAUACUGAUUUGUGAUAAUCACAGAUAAAUAUUGAUGGUAUUAAGAGUUUCCACCCUGUGACAAUCUUCCACUGUGGCGUGAAGAGCUGCAGUCAUAUAACUGUAUGCUCGAUAUUCUCGCUGCAUGAAUCCUGACAGAAUGGUCCAAUGAAUUUGGUGUGCAGCCUUUGUCAUCUCCCUACUGACACUUGAAAGAGAUUUUGCUUAAUUAUGCCACACCAGCAUGAUCUCCUCCGUAUUAUUACAUCUGCUUGAUAAUAUAUUCCUUGAUGUUUUUCACCAGUCAUUGGGUCAUGUUCAUGGACCCGUGUCCCAUGCAACUCAACUAUGGUAUGCUUCUCACGCUCAGAAAUGGCUCAUCCAACAAAACACAAACAGAUUUGUGCAAGUAGUGACAUUUUUGGGACUACUUUGUUAAAAAUGUAUUUUAUUUUAACGGGUGAGUGCGCAGUUUCUUGCCCUAUUUAUGAACACCCGUGGACAUAAAUCAGUUUAGCCACAACCCAAGGCAUGCAACAUGAAAACUUUUGAUUAGUAGAUGAUUAGGGUUAUAACAUAGUGUGGACGAACGUGACCCGUUGUGUAAAGAAAGUUGCACUUGAUGUAAUUAGGCAAGCAAUUAAGUUUGUAGAAGGAAUGUGUGUUUUCAGAAAAAAUGUAUCCCUUGUGAAAAUGGAAAUAUCUCAAAAGGUUGUCGAGACGCUCGGCUAUUUGACCAAUGGACCACAUUGCAACCAUACAGUUUUGGAUCUCAAAGGUAUGAUGAAUUAACAGCUUUUAUUGGAUAGCAAUUAAAGUGAAGUUGAAUCUUAAUGUUGGAAUACCAUAUGAGUAUUUCGUAUAUACGUGAAUUGUCGAUUGCAUUGUAUUGACAUGUGGUGCAGAAAGAUAACUUGAUAGGUCAUGGCAACGAACGGUCAUUGAUGCAACGCAUGCAACCAUUCAUGUUCCAAUUUUGCAUCGGGUAGCAGUGAAGCGGACGGGCGACUUAGGGAGGAAGAAUGGUGGUGGACAUAGCGUAUGCAUUUUAAGUCAAGUUCUUGCCGAUCAAUUAAUUGCAACAUGUAUUUUACUCCUAUUAUAGAUAACAUGUAUCUUAGAUGGCCACGGUUGGUUUGAAAGUUUCAUUUUAGUUCUGAAGGUGUGUAUAUUAAAUAGUUCUUGCAAAACCUAAAAUGUUGUCAUGAGUUAAAUUCAACAGAUGGCAAUUUUUUCUAUUGUACUUGCAGUUUUGUCUCUUGAGUGCAUAGUUUUAUUAUAUUGUCAUGUCCUAGAGCAUAUAAGAUAAGAGUAUGGGUCUCAAAGUUGUACUGGCAUUGCACUGCUCUCUCUAUCAUUUGCUCGGUCCCGUGCUCAUUGGCCCUUCUCAUGAUGUAUUUGUGUGUAUGAUUCAGAUAUUGAUCAACUCUCUCUCUCUCCGAGAUCAACUCAGGCAAGAGGUGCUGGACCAUCAUGGGGCACUCGCCUAUAAAGCAUACCGAUGUGAAUAUCUGGUCCACCGUUAUUUUUCUACUGUGUCGUUCUAGAAAACAUAAUACAUACCAUUAAUAUUUAGGACAAGUUAUU